rnacentral:rRNA from 1 species
AUGAACGCUAGCUACAGGCUUAACACAUGCAAGUCGAGGGGCAGCAUUUUAGUUUGCUUGCAAACUGAAGAUGGCGACCGGCGCACGGGUGAGUAACACGUAUCCAACCUGCCGAUAACUCCGGAAUAGCCUUUCGAAAGAAAGAUUAAUACCGGAUAGUAUACGAAUAUCGCAUGGUAUUUUUAUUAAAGAAUUUCGGUUAUCGAUGGGGAUGCGUUCCAUUAGUUUGUUGGCGGGGUAACGGCCCACCAAGACUACGAUGGAUAGGGGUUCUGAGAGGAAGGUCCCCCACAUUGGAACUGAGACACGGUCCAAACUCCUACGGGAGGCAGCAGUGAGGAAUAUUGGUCAAUGGGCGAGAGCCUGAACCAGCCAAGUAGCGUGAAGGAUGAAGGCUCUAUGGGUCGUAAACUUCUUUUAUAUGGGAAUAAAGUUUUCCACGUGUGGAAUUUUGUAUGUACCAUAUGAAUAAGGAUCGGCUAACUCCGUGCCAGCAGCCGCGGUAAUACGGAGGAUCCGAGCGUUAUCCGGAUUUAUUGGGUUUAAAGGGAGCGUAGGUGGAUUGUUAAGUCAGUUGUGAAAGUUUGCGGCUCAACCGUAAAAUUGCAGUUGAAACUGGCAGUCUUGAGUACAGUAGAGGUGGGCGGAAUUCGUGGUGUAGCGGUGAAAUGCUUAGAUAUCACGAAGAACUCCGAUUGCGAAGGCAGCUCACUAGACUGUCACUGACACUGAUGCUCGAAAGUGUGGGUAUCAAACAGGAUUAGAUACCCUGGUAGUCCACACAGUAAACGAUGAAUACUCGCUGUUUGCGAUAUACAGUAAGCGGCCAAGCGAAAGCAUUAAGUAUUCCACCUGGGGAGUACGCCGGCAACGGUGAAACUCAAAGGAAUUGACGGGGGCCCGCACAAGCGGAGGAACAUGUGGUUUAAUUCGAUGAUACGCGAGGAACCUUACCCGGGCUUAAAUUGCAACAGAAUAUAUUGGAAACAGUAUAGCCGUAAGGCUGUUGUGAAGGUGCUGCAUGGUUGUCGUCAGCUCGUGCCGUGAGGUGUCGGCUUAAGUGCCAUAACGAGCGCAACCCUUAUCUUUAGUUACUAACAGGUUAUGCUGAGGACUCUAGAGAGACUGCCGUCGUAAGAUGUGAGGAAGGUGGGGAUGACGUCAAAUCAGCACGGCCCUUACGUCCGGGGCUACACACGUGUUACAAUGGGGGGUACAGAAGGCGGCUACCUGGUGACAGGAUGCUAAUCCCAAAAACCUCUCUCAGUUCGGAUCGAAGUCUGCAACCCGACUUCGUGAAGCUGGAUUCGCUAGUAAUCGCGCAUCAGCCGUGGCGCGGUGAAUACGUUCCCGGGCCUUGUACACACCGCCCGUCAAGCCAUGAAAGCCGGGGGUACCUGAAGUACGUAACCGCAAGGAGCGUCCUAGGGUAAAACUGGUAAUUGGGGCU